rnacentral:rRNA from 1 species
AAUAUUGCGCAAGGGAGGGAACGCUGACGCAGCGACGCCGCGUGAUCGAUGAAGGUAUUCGUAUCUUAAAUUUCUGCCCGUGGGGAAGAAGGUCUUCGGACUUGACUGUACCUAAGGAGGAAGCUCCGGCGAACUACGUUCCAGCAGCCGCGGCAAGAUGUACGGGGCGAGCGUGGUCCGGAAUUACUGGGCGUCAAGGGUACGUAGGCGGCUCUAUAAGUCAGGUGUGAAAUACCAGUGCUUAACACUGGAAUUGCAUUUGCAACUGUGUAACUUGAGUGCAGGAGAGGAAAGUGGAAUUCCUAGUGUAGCGGUGAAAUGCGUAGAGAUUAGGAGGAACACCAGUGGCGAAGGAGACUUUAUGGACUGUAACUGACGCUGAGGUACGAAAGCGUGGGUAGCGAACA